GACGAACGCUGGCGGCGUGCCUAAUACAUGCAAGUUGAGCGAUGAAGAUUGGUGCUUGCACCAAUUUGAAGAGCAGCGAACGGGUGAGUAACGCGUGGGGAAUCUGCCUUUGAGCGGGGGACAACAUUUGGAAACGAAUGCUAAUACCGCAUAACAACUUUAAACAUAAGUUUUAAGUUUGAAAGAUGCAAUUGCAUCACUCAAAGAUGAUCCCGCGUUGUAUUAGCUAGUUGGUGAGGUAAAGGCUCACCAAGGCGAUGAUACAUAGCCGACCUGAGAGGGUGAUCGGCCACAUUGGGACUGAGACACGGCCCAAACUCCUACGGGAGGCAGCAGUAGGGAAUCUUCGGCAAUGGACGAAAGUCUGACCGAGCAACGCCGCGGGAGUGAAGAAGGGUUUCGGAUCGGAAAACUCUGUUGGUAGAGAAGAACGUUGGUGAGAGUGGAAAGCUCAUCAAGUGACGGUAACUACACAGAAAGGGACGGCUAACUACGUG
rnacentral:rRNA from 1 species